rnacentral:rRNA from 1 species
AGUGAACGCUGGCGGUAGGCCUAACACAUGCAAGUCGAACGGCAGCACAGUAAGAGCUUGCUCUUACGGGUGGCGAGUGGCGGACGGGUGAGGAAUACAUCGGAAUCUACUUUUUCGUGGGGGAUAACGUAGGGAAACUUACGCUAAUACCGCAUACGACCUACGGGUGAAAGCAGGGGAUCUUCGGACCUUGCGCGAUUGAAUGAGCCGAUGCCGGAUUAGCUAGUUGGCGGGGUAAAGGCCCACCAAGGCGACGAUCCGUAGCUGGUCUGAGAGGAUGAUCAGCCACACUGGAACUGAGACACGGUCCAGACUCCUACGGGAGGCAGCAGUGGGGAAUAUUGGACAAUGGGCGCAAGCCUGAUCCAGCCAUACCGCGUGGGUGAAGAAGGCCUUCGGGUUGUAAAGCCCCUUUGUUGGGAAAGAAAAGCAGCAGGUUAAUACCCCGCUGUUCUGACGGUACCCAAAGAAUAAGCACCGGCUAACUUCGUG